rnacentral:rRNA from 1 species
AUUGAACGCUGGCGGCAGGCCUAACACAUGCAAGUCGAGCGGAUGAAGGGAGCUUGCUCCUGGAUUCAGCGGCGGACGGGUGAGUAAUGCCUAGGAAUCUGCCUGGUAGUGGGGGAUAACGUCCGGAAACGGGCGCUAAUACCGCAUACGUCCUGAGGGGGAAAGUGGGGGAUCUUCGGACCUCCCGCUAUCAGAUGAGCCUAGGUCGGAUUAGCUAGUUGGUGGGGUAAAGGCCUACCAAGGCGACGAUCCGUAACUGGUCUGAGAGGAUGAUCAGUCACACUGGAACUGAGACACGGUCCAGACUCCUACGGGAGGCAGCAGUGGGGAAUAUUGGACAAAGGGCGAAAGCCUGAUCCAGCCAUGCCGCGUGUGUGAAGAAGGUCUUCGGAUUGUAAAGCACUUUAAGUUGGGAGGAAGGGCAGUAAGUUAAUACCUUGCUGUUUUGACGUUACCAACAGAAUAAGCACCGGCUAACUUCGUG